rnacentral:rRNA from 1 species
CCAAUAGCGUAUAUUAAAGUUGUUGCAGUUAAAAAGCUCGUAGUUGAAUUUCGGGAUCAUCAGGUUGGUCGUGCCUCUGGUAUGUACUUUCCUCGAUGGUUCCUCCUUCUUGAAGAUCCGUAAUGUCAUUAAUUUGGUGUUGCGGGGAAUCAGGACUGUUACUUUGAAAAAAUUAGAGUGUUUAAAGCAGGCAAUCGCUUGAAUACAUUAGCAUGGAAUAAUGAAAUAGGACGUUCGAUCCUAUUUUGUUGGUUUCUAGGAUUGACGUAAUGAUUAAUAGGGGUAGUUGGGGGCAUUAGUAUUCAAUUGUCAGAGGUGAAAUUCUUGGAUUUAUUGAAGACUAACUACUGCGAAAGCAUUUGCCAAGGAUGUUUUCAUUAAUCAAGAACGAAAGUUAGGGGAUCGAAGACGAUCAGAUACCGUCGUAGUCUUAACCAUAAACUAUGCCGACUAGGGAUCGGAUGAUGUUAAUUUUUUAAUGACUCAUUCGGCGCCUUACG